CGCUAGUAAUCGCGGAUCAGAAUGCCGCGGUGAAUACGUUCCCGGGUCUUGUACACACCGCCCGUCACACCAUGGGAGUCGGAAAUGCCCGAAGUCUGUGACCUAACCGCAAGGGAGGAGCAGCCGAAGGCAGGUCGGAUGACUGGGGUGAAGUCGUAACAAGGUACC
rnacentral:rRNA from 1 species